UCUGCCUGCGUCUACGGAUCCACACUCCAGCAAGACCAACUUUUUAAAUGGAAGAAAAUAAAAAAGGGAGAAAACAGGAAAAUGGGACUGCCAGAUGGAAUUGACAUUGUGAAAGUCAAAUUUUAAACAGAUGACAUUGCAAACUCCUCAUUCACCAUCCAGAUCCUACUGAAGGACAGAGUUGCCAGAGGUGCCAACACAUCAGUAUCCAUUCGGGAUGUGAAUGACUCAACACUGAAACUUUAUUAUCAAGGGACUGCAACAGAAAAAACUGCAAAAUCAGCUAUAUCAGAACGACAUCAAAACUGACAUUUUGCUCAGCAACCUAAAUUUCAAAAAUCUCUAAAUACAGUACAGGUUCAAAACAGAAUGGUCAAGUUAUGCUAUCUAAAAAACCCCUU